rnacentral:sRNA from 1 species
CCCAGAAUACGAAGGGCAGCGUGCAUCC